rnacentral:tRNA from 1 species
GGGAAGGUGGCUCAGUGGUAGAGUACUUGCCUUGCAUGCAUGAGGCCCUGAGUUCGAUUCCUCAGCACCCCA